rnacentral:rRNA from 1 species
GGGUUGUGAGGUUAAGCGACUAAGCGUACACGGUGGAUGCCCUGGCAGUCAGAGGCGAUGAAGGACGUGCUAAUCUGCGAUAAGCGUCGGUAAGGUGAUAUGAACCGUUAUAACCGGCGAUUUCCGAAUGGGGAAACCCAGUGUGAUUCGUCACACUAUCAUUAACUGAAUCCAUAGGUUAAUGAGGCGAACCGGGGGAACUGAAACAUCUAAGUACCCCGAGGAAAAGAAAUCAACCGAGAUUCCCCCAGUAGCGGCGAGCGAACGGGGAGGAGCCCAGAGCCUGAAUCAGUGUGUGUGUUAGUGGAAGCGUCUGGAAAGGCGCGCGAUACAGGGUGACAGCCCCGUACACAAAAAUGCACAUGCUGUGAGCUCGAUGAGUAGGGCGGGACACGUGGUAUCCUGUCUGAAUAUGGGGGGACCAUCCUCCAAGGCUAAAUACUCCUGACUGACCGAUAGUGAACCAGUACCGUGAGGGAAAGGCGAAAAGAACCCCGGCGAGGGGAGUGAAAAAGAACCUGAAACCGUGUACGUACAAGCAGUGGGAGCACAGAGCAAUCUGUGUGACUGCGUACCUUUUGUAUAAUGGGUCAGCGACUUAUAUUCUGUAGCAAGGUUAACUGAAUAGGGGAGCCGAAGGGAAACCGAGUCUUAACUGGGCGUUAAGUUGCAGGGUAUAGACCCGAAACCCGGUGAUCUAGCCAUGGGCAGGUUGAAGGUUGGGUAACACUAACUGGAGGACCGAACCGACUAAUGUUGAAAAAUUAGCGGAUGACUUGUGGCUGGGGGUGAAAGGCCAAUCAAACCGGGAGAUAGCUGGUUCUCCCCGAAAGCUAUUUAGGUAGCGCCUCGUGAAUUCAUCUCCGGGGGUAGAGCACUGUUUCGGCAAGGGGGUCAUCCCGACUUACCAACCCGAUGCAAACUGCGAAUACCGGAGAAUGUUAUCACGGGAGACACACGGCGGGUGCUAACGUCCGUCGUGAAGAGGGAAACAACCCAGACCGCCAGCUAAGGUCCCAAAGUCAUGGUUAAGUGGGAAACGAUGUGGGAAGGCCCAGACAGCCAGGAUGUUGGCUUAGAAGCAGCCAUCAUUUAAAGAAAGCGUAAUAGCUCACUGGUCGAGUCGGCCUGCGCGGAAGAUGUAACGGGGCUAAACCAUGCACCGAAGCUGCGGCAGCGACACUGUGUGUUGUUGGGUAGGGGAGCGU